GCCGGGGUGCCCGAGCGGUCCAAGGGGACGGGCUGGAGACCCGUUGCCCCGCGAGGGGCGCGCGGGUUCGAAUCCCGCCCCCGGCGCCA
rnacentral:tRNA from 2 species